ensembl:lncRNA
AUGUAUCUAUAUCUUUACCACAUUUACAUAUGGUUUAUUAUGUAUCCCUUUUUCUUUUCAGUGUCUUCUCAGAAACAACUGACCUUGGAGGCUAUAAGUGAUGAGAAAGAUUUCGUUUCCAAUAUAGCCCCAGAAAUAAAGGAUGGAUCAACAUCUGAGACAGUGCAUCCUGCCGUUGACAAGCAUUUAAACAGGCAUUUCUGGGCACAGCGUGUUUUUCCCAAGUCUGGGCUAAAGGACGAUUCUGAUUCUGAUUCUGAUUCUGUGGUAAAGUACUCACUUGUAAAAUUAAAUUCUCACUCUGAAUCUCAUUUUGUAUAUUACUAUCUUCUAGAUGUAGCAGUUGUCUACCUAUCAGUGUUUUACGGUUGCAUUAAAAAUUUUAUUAGAGAUAACCAUUUCAAAGACAUAGGAGGGGUUAAUUUUUAUUUUGUUUACUUGGCAAAUAAGAAAUAG